AGGACUUGACAUUGAUAGAAUCCGAAUGAAAGUUCGGAGUGCCCUUCGGGGAACUUGAAAACAGGUGGUGCACGGUUGUCGUCAGCUCGUGUCGUGAGAUGUUGGGUUAAGUCCCGCAACGAGCGCAACCCUUGUUGUUAGUUGGUCAUAGCGGUAUACUUCUAUGUAUCUCUCUAGCAAGACUGCCGGUGAUAAACCGGAGGAAGGUGAGGACGACGUCAAAUCAUCAUGCCCCUUACGUUCUGGGCUACACACGUGUUACAAUGGCUGGUACAACGAGCCGCAAACUCGCGAGAGUAAGCAAAUCUCUUAAACCCAGUCUCAGUUCGGAUUGCACUCUGCAACUCGAGUGCAUGAAGUCGGAAUCGCUAGUAAACGCAGAUCAGCACGCUGCGUUGAAUACGUUCCCGGGUC
rnacentral:rRNA from 1 species